GGCGUUGGGUCGCCGGAAGGGAGGGUCCUGGGGGGGGGAUGGGGCGGGGACGCGCAGGAGGCCCGCGAGGUUGACUUGGGCAAGGCGUAGAGGACGCGUGUGCUGGCAGAUGGAGGAGAACCGAGCGAGGCCGGGCAGCUUUGCCAGGAGUCUUCACCUACUACUAAGGACCCCUCCUGCAAAUUCAGACUGUUGCGUGACACCCUAAAGAAUAAAUCAGCCGGGCGCGGUGGCUCAAGCCUGUAAUCCCAGCACUUUGGGAGGCCGAGACGGGCGGAUCACAAGGAUCCUUUUCCCCGGAAGCCUGGCUACUGGAGAGAGAACUUCACACUUAAAUAAGAGGAGAAAGAAGCCAGAGGAUGGAGUGUCACCUCAUCUAGUCACCUUUUCUUGCCCUAUUAGAAGCAAGAGAGCAGAGCGUAGCAAGCUUCAGAUGACUUGUUUGACUGGUCUGAGUCUUUUUGGGAUUAAAUGAGGUUUCUGUUUAGGGAGAUCCUUUGUUUCACUAUUAGCUUUAGGCUAAUAAGUUUUAGUACUGCCUAAACCCCCUCUUAGGGUAUAUCGCCUGGUUGUUGGUGAUGUUGAAUUACAGGGUGUCAUACAGAGAGUAACA